AGUCUGCUGCUAUAAAUAAAGAGAAGUCGUUGUAUCUUUUCAAACUGAAUUUUCAACUCUCACAAUGUCAGCUGUAAAGUUUAUUAUGGUGUUCGUCUACACCGCCAUUAUUUUCAAUCAAAUUUUUGGGCAAGAAGAUUGGAUGUUUGAUGAAGGCCGGCCUGAAGACUGCGCAGUUGUUCAUCAUUAUCCCGAUGUAUGUUGAUUGUAUUUAAGAAGAUGUUUUAAUGAAAAAAGCGUGUAUGUAUAAAAAACCUAAUGCUUUAUUCAUCGAUACUAGUGACACGUUUUCAAUGUAAAAACAUUAUAAAUUAACAAUUUUUCCAUAUUUUAAUUUUCGCCGAUGUCUGUUAAUUUUUAAAAAUAAGUCUAAUUUUAAUGUGCCUCUUUAGAGUUUUAGAAAUGUUAUUCCUUACAUGUCAGUUUCAUUAAAUAAAUGUGAUAAAAAAUUGCAA